ensembl:lncRNA
GAAUCCCGAGAAGUUGCUGAUUGCUCCCGGCUUCAGUUCUUUCUGCGCUUCAGUCCCGGUGCCGCCUCCUCUGAAGCCUGGUGGGUUCUGCCCGAGGCCAGUGCCAGGGCCCCAGCGUUGAAAGAGCCCGAAGCAGGAAGGCGGAGGAGUCGCGCCGCCCAGCGGAGAACCCGCCAAAGCACAGACUCUUAGUCACCAUCAUGAAUAUUGGUCAUCACUCCUUGGCACAUUGGACUGUACAGGUGGCUCCACCGAGAUGGCCUUCCAACCACUGUCUGCGAUGGGUGAUACUGACUUCAAGAAAUGAACUGAAAAGCCUCUUUCUUGUCCUGUGCGCUGCAGCAGGAAAAAAACAAGGACUAUUAGCUAUCACUGUGCCAGCUGGCCUCAGGCAGUUUUAUGCAAAAAAGGCACAGAAAAGGAACAGAUAGAAAUACUGCUUGGUGGGGGAAUGGUCUCUGGAACUGGCAGACAGAGC